rnacentral:rRNA from 1 species
CCUACGGGAGGCUGCAGUGGGGAAUAUUGCACAAUGGGGGAAACCCUGAUGCAGCGAAGCCGCGUGAGUGAAGAAGUAAUUCGGUAUGUAAAGCUCUAUCAGCAGGGAAGAAAAUGACGGUACCUGAGUAAGAAGCAGCGGCUAACUACGUGCCAGCAGCCGCGGUAAUACGGAGGGGGCCAGCGUUAUCCGGAUUUACUGGGUGUAAAGGGAGCGUAGACGGCAGUGCAAGUCUGGAGGGAAAGGCGGGGGGUCAACCCCCGGACUGCUGUUGAAACUGUACGGCUGGAGUGCAGGAGAGGUAAGCGGAAUUCGUGGUGUAGCGGUGAAAUGCGUAGAUAUCGCGCAGAACUCCAGUGGCGAAGGCGGCUUACUGGAUUGUCACUGACGUUGAGGCUCGAAAGCGUGGGGAGCGAACAGGAUUAGAUACCCCAGUAGUC